CUUCCGUGAUGGUUUGCAUCCCCACCAGCAGUGUGUGAGCGCUCGGUUUUCUCCACAGCCAACACUUGUCUGUCAUCUUUUCAAUAGCGGUUAGCCUAACGGGUGUGAGAUGCUACUGCUCGGUGCUUCUGGUUGGCUUUUCCCUGUGGAUUAAUGAUGCUGAGCAUCUAUCAUACACCUCCUGGCUAUCGAUCUUCUUUUGAGAGAACAAGGUAAACAAAACCAUAAAAAGCCCUGCUUGGAGCCGUCAGAAGCGAGCAGCUUUUAAAUCAGAAGGGAGUCCGAGCUGCAUCUCCGCUCUGCUCUGCCUGCCCAAGUAACCAGCUGAAAUAACGGAACAACAACUCGCACUCAUGAGCAAACUUGCUACUCUCUAGAUACGUCUUACGAUAAGUGGACUGCUAUCGGGUGACUUACAGUUCUAGCAGCUGUCAAUUAGAGACAAGGUGUUCCACCCAUAUACCAAGGAGGUGGGAGUCUAAAGCUGAGGAUCUUUCUGAAAACUGAUCAAGAAGACACCAAGCAAAUGGUUUUCAAAGGUCUCUCACUGAAGCCAAAGCUCACCAAUUUGGCUAGACUGGCUGGCCAGCAAGAUCUGGAGGUCCUCUUGUCUCCAUCUUUGCUAGCACUGGAGUUACAGGUUUCGAAGUGUUUACAUUCUAAGAGUCUCGACAUGUGCUGCUAUUAAAAUUGUCCUCAUAUGUCUGAAAGGGGAAAAAAAAAAAUCCCUGCGGACAGUGGCCAGGGCCUUCUUUCCCGACUAUCUCCAGGACCUCACCUGGCUGCAGCCAAGUUUAGGCUGCUCAUCAAGCAGUUUCCAAAUAAGCCUUGCGUACACAUCUGCUUUAGCCCAGUCCUAUGGGAAAAGAGACUGGACACGAGAAGGCUGAAGGAGGAAGGCGGAGCUGAGUCUUCCUCUGGCCUCCAUAGCUGGGGACCAGACACCGGAAGGCGGAGCUGAGUCUUCCUCUGGCCUCCAUUGCUGUGCCGUUCAUCUAAGUUUCAGCAGCGUUUGGCCUGUUUGCUCUCUUCUGAGAGCCGUGCUUCCUGUGAUAAUGGAGAGAGACUCACCGAGUGCUGAUGGCGUCUAAGGAGGAACAGCCAGAGUAAUAAAAGCACUGUGGCUUUAUAAGCCAACUGCCCCGCAGGGAUGAAUGCAUUCUAAAGGCGUAUUUUCCCUAUCAGACCAUUGAAAGAAUGAACCCCAAGAAGUUAGAAUUUGCCCAGUCUUCUACUGGAGAAGAAAUGGCUGAAAACGUUGUCAAUGCAGAGGAGGAAUCUGUCUCCUGGAGGAAAAUUUAUAAUUCAGAUGACCUUGCAGAGCAGACUUGGGGCUGAGGCAAUGGUGGUCGGGGCCCACACCUUGGCAGGACUGGUUAAUUAGGUAUACCUCUUGUUUUCUGUUUAAAUCCUAUCCUCAGAUCAAGACCCCUGAAGAUGAUCUUGGGGAAAGUCAUUGAGUCUCCUUUUCUUUCUUCUUAAUGUGUCCUCAUUGACCAAAUCUCCCUUUUCUAACUUCUCACUAUUGAUUUGGCAUAUGUGUGUGUGAGAGAGACAGAGAGAGAAAGAGAAGUGGUUUCUCUGUGUAUACCUUCUGGCCUGGACUCUGUAGACCAGGAUGGCCUCGAACUCACAGAGCUCUGCCUGCCUCUGCCUUCCGAGUGUUGUGAUUAAAGGCGCGCACCACCACUGCCCACCUUAAUUUGGCUCCUUUAAUUGGUUUAUUGAGGACUGGUGGCUGAACCUGGCUUGUCAUAGGCUGUGACCCCUAAAUCAGGUAACAGCUGAAAUGUGAAAUGUUCCCGGUAGACUCAUGUGUUUGAACACUUGAUUCUUAAUUGGUGGUGCUGUUUUAAGGAGGUUGCACAACCAUUGGGAGGCGAAACUUCUUUGGCAGAGGUGGCUCACUGGCUGGACACAGGAGGCUGAAGUUUUACAUCCUGGGUCUUGCUUCCUGUCUGCACUGUGAUGGGUUAUAUCUCUUCUUAAACUGAACCCAAAUCACCCCUUCCUUCCUUAAGUUGCUACGUUGGGUAUUUUGUGACGGCAAUAAAUGAGCUAAUACGGAAAGCAAAUCGUGAGGACCCCCCCAUAUAAUCACAACUGUGAGCAAAGUUCGCGCACAUCUCUGAGAGUUCCAGGACCUGGGCAGGGCCACCAGAAAGAGUGAGGCUGGAGAGAAACGAUCUGCACCUGUGCCGAGGCCGGAAGGCCUGAGACAGGUGUCCUAAGUGGAAAGGAGCUCUCAGCCAGGUGGAAUUUGGCUGAGUGCAAAGGACUGGUAACACAACGGUGCAAACUGCUGAAGAACAGACAUGGUUGGAGUAGGAGGCUGGAGAGCAGGCGGGGGCCGGAGCAUUCCUGGUUGUGUGGACUAUGGUAAGGAGUCGCCUCUACCUCCUGAUAGCAAAGGAGGCUUUUGAAGGGUUUUGACCCUGGCAUGAUUUGGCCCCUUUCCCAUUUUUUGGAAGAUGCCCCCCCUGGCUAUAAGGUAGAAAACAGACUGUAGGAGGCAGGAGUGGUGUAUAGAGAUUAUACUUCCAAAUCCACACACUGCAGGUCUAGUGUUAUGUGGCACCCUUGUGGAGGUGGAGAGAACCGAAUAGAUCUAAGGAAAAAAAAAUGUAGGCUGGGAUAAAGCUCCGAGGUGAAGUGCAUGAGGUCACGGGCUCCAUCCACAGUACUAUGAAAAAGAAAACGCAAUGUGAGUGUUGGGUAACUGGCUCAGGUUAUGAGGAAUUGAGUCAGGCUGGGCUAGGUUAUUUAUCACCUUUUGCUACAAGGAAUGGCUUAGCCCCAGCCUGACUGUUCUGCUCCGUCUGUAGAAACAGUAAGCCCUGGUAUCAAAAACAACCCGCCCUGCUCCACAAAACCACACACACACACACACACACAGCUGUGACUUCCUGGUAGUUAUCUAUGCUUAGACACACGCUUCCCCAGCUGAUCUAAAUCUA